AUUGAACGCUGGCGGCAGGCCUAACACAUGCAAGUCGAACGAGUGGCGGACGGGUGAGUAAUGUCUGGGAAACUGCACGAUGGAGGGGGAUAACUACUGGAAACGGUAGCUAAUACCGCAUACCAUCGGAUGUGCCCAGCUGGGAUUGGCUAGUAGGUGGGGUAACGGCUCACCUAGGCGACGAUCCCUAGCUGGUCUGAGAGGAUGACGCGCCACACGGGAUGUGUGACACGGUCCAGACUCGUACGGGCUGCAGCAGUGGGGUAUAUGGCACAAUGGGCGCAAGCCUGAUGCAGCCAUGCCGCGUGUAUGAAGAAGGCCGUCGGGUUGUAAAGUAUUUUCAGCGAGGAGGCGUUACUCGCAGAAGAAGCACCGGCUAACUCCGUGCCAGCAGCCGCGGUAAUAC
rnacentral:rRNA from 1 species